CCCCAUUUCACCUCACAUCACCUCAAUCCCCCUGCAUUUUGCUAUCCAGACGGUUUAGUUGUCAUGGAAGCAUAUGCUGUCUUCAAGUGUACUGACGCCAUGUUUGUCUCAUCGAUUUCCUUAGAAAGGGUGUAAAAUAUAAUUACCGAUUACAUGUUGGGCAUCGACGAAUGCUCGGUAACAAACACGAUUCACAUAAUCGUUACAACCGUAAUAUAUAAUUUUUUAUUAUUAUAAAUGUAACAUACCUUCAAAAGUUAUGUCCCUUCCUAAAAGCCAUCAGUUAAAAAUACAAGAGGCCCCGUUCACUUUCAGAGCUGUUGACUUCUCUCUGGUAGCUGGCCUGCAUUACAUGGAUACAUCUCAGGCCUGCAUUGUAUGACACACCCUUGUGUUUGCACAUCUUAUCAGUGUGCAAACAUUUCGACAAAAACUACAUAGUUUAUUGCACCGUAUGCUUUUGACGGAACCCGGAAGUGUCCAAGUAUAUAUUAAUUACAUGACAAUGCAAUAGUUAUACGACGCAAACGCACGUGUUAUAAACAGUGACUAUAUUAUGAGUUCUUGAAAAUGUCACCAGGAAGAAAGGUUUUAUCUAUCUUAGUAUACGUACAAUGUAUGUUUAUAGUUUGGACCUUAUUCAGGGUCACGUGUAAUAAAGAUAAACGUCAAGCCUUAGUGUUACUUAUACUCCUAUCUCUAUCCGGGUGAAACAUUGUGUACAGUGAAACCCCGAUAACACGGACUGUACCAUAACAGAACAAUUUUUCGUCAAACCACAGGCGAACACCUGGCGUCAUCACUGAUUUUCAGUUUUCCAUUCAUAUAACUUCACAGCUACUGCCAUUUAAAGGGCAAGUAUACACGAAAAUGAACCUAUUUUUCUUGUACUUUUUCAUCAUGAAAAGUAUUUACCUAGUAGUUUCGGAGGCAAAACAAUUAAAAUAUCACACGUAUCAAAUUUAUUUUAUUCAUAAAAUCGGUUCAUAUUUUUCACAUUUACAGAGUGUUCUAUUUCCAUAAUAAACACACCAUGGCUUAUGCCCCUUGCAAUAUGACGUCAUUGGUGCCAAUUGAUAAAGGAAUGACGUCAUAAGACUUUAUUAGACGCGUUUCACGUGGUGUAUGUAGGUGUGUGGUUCUAUCUUCUCAGAUGCGCAGCCUAGCUAUUGUUUUGUUCGGUGCCGAGCUGUCCAAGAUACAACGCUAAGCACAAUUACUCUAAAAUUAUUUCGUUUUCCAAAAUCGCGACUGUGAAGACAACAAUGCACUGAUAACAUACUGUAAGAUUCGCGAUUAUGGUUGGAAGGGUCCGUUGUAUGAAUUGCGCUUAUUCGUUCAUUUGUGUUGCGCAUAUUGGCUCUUGCUGAGUUGCUGUCGUCUUCCGUGAGAGUUUAGAUACCUGCUGGUUCUGAAACCACAGGACCAUAUGUAACUAAUAAUAACAAUUAAAAAAACUAGCCAAAAAAUUAUAGAAGAGGCCGAAGGCCGUUUUUGUUACUAUUAUUAGUUACAUCUGGUCCUGUGCUGAAACUGAUCGGAAGCGGAUGGUGUACGAUCCUUAUAUGGAAACGGGCCAAAGGGACAGCACUCUCAUCAAAACCCUGACUGGGAUGUUUUUGUAAACAAACGCCGUAAAGUUGAAGUAACUCGAUCAGUUUCGAGCCAAGUCAUGCCAGACACCAAUGCCCAGAAAGUACAGGUCCCCAGUCCAUCAUGGUGUAAAGUCGCUGUCCAAUGUACACAAGAAGCAUGGCACACCGUGCUUCACAGUAUGAGGUCCCACAAUGAUAUUGAAGAGUAUAAAUGCGACAAAACCCUUUCCAUAUUCAUAUGAAAUCUCUGUAAAAACAGUUGAUGGUACGAUUCUGACUAAAUCCUGAGCAAGUGUUAAUGAAUCGCUAUCAAAUAGUGAUAAUACCAGGUGUUCGCGAAAGGUGAGAGUAUCCUGCCCAACCAGACCACAAGGAAUCCCUGGUGUUGAGAUCCAUUUUCAUUGAGUGCAAAUUGUGUUUAUUUUCAUGCAGAGUUACAAGUCAUAAAAUAUUAGAGUGUCUUGUGAGGUACAGUGCUUCAGACAACAAGAGAGCUGUACUUUUGAAAUAGUCAACCAGUGCACUAACAAGUUGCCACUGAGCAUUUAGCCAGUGCUUGUGAUAUUUUCUUCAGUCUUUUCCCCGGCCCUCGCCCUUGCCCAAAACUACCUGAUCCAGCAUCAGCCAUCCUGUAUUACAGAAACUUAUCAAAUGAAGCAGCAAAGGCUGAUUGUUGUCAGAGACCAUAAAACAAGAUUUCAAUGAAAAAAGUUUAUUUUAAUGAGCAUAGAGAAAAACAUUACAUACAUCAGAUGGAAAUCUUUCAUGAAUCACCUCGACAACACAAGAUGGAAUAACUUUUCUCUGAUUCUUCAACUAUUUCUGCAAAUCCCCAAAGUGAACCUCUUGUUUAUGAGUUGUAGAUAGAUUCUGAAAUGAAAAAGUGUCUUUUAUAAGUCAAGCUAUGCACAACAUUACAAAAAGAUAUCAUACCAUUUACAUAUAUAUUUUUGUCAUUAAAUCUGGAGGGAUGCUUAUAUAAGAAGUAACUUGUAUUGAUGAUAUAUGCAUAAUUUUUAUUACAUGUUAAUAAUUCAAUAAAUACCAAAACAGUUUAUAGUUCUAUCAUGUUGACAUGAUGUGUUUAUUACUGUAGGUUUGAAUACUUCUUGAAAUAUUGUGGGCAUGUUUCAAUAUCACUGAUGUAAUUUAAUAACCUUACAAGUUACAUAUGCUUUCACAACUUGCUGGCAAAUAAACAUUUAUGGUACUC